AUUAUACUCUCUCCGUCCGGAAAUACUUGUCAUCAAAAUGGGUAAAAGGGAUGUAUCUAGAUACAUCCCUUUUUGUCCAUUUUGAUGACAAGUAUUUUCGGACAGAGGGAGUAUAUA
rnacentral:pre_miRNA from 1 species